UGCAUAUCCAAAAGCGGAGGAAAAGAAACCAACCGGGAUUGCCCCAGUAGCGGCGAGUGAAGCGGCAAAAGCUCCUAUUUGAAAGCGCUUUGGCGCGUUGUAGAAGGGGGUUGCUUAAGGGUGGAGCGCAGCUAAGUCCCCUGGAAGGGGGCGCCAGAGAGGGUGAGAGCCCCGUGCGCUGUGCGAGGCCUGGAAGCGGCCUCUGCGGAGUCGAGUUGUUUGGGAAUGCAGCUCUAAGAGGGUGGUAAAUUCCAUCUAAGGCUAAACAUUGGCGAGAGACCGAUAGCGAACAAGUACAGUGAUGGAAAGAUGAAAAGCACUUUGAAAAGAGAGUGAAACAGUACGUGAAAUUGUUGAAAGGGAAGGGUAUUUGGUCCGACAUGGGCCUUGGGUAUCGUUGCCUGUAUGGGCGGCGCUCUACCGGGGUCUGGGCCAGGGUGAGGCAUUCGGGGAGUAGAAGAGGGCGGGAAGCACGUAGUGUGGAACGCUAUGACACUGCCACGGGUGCCUGAGGAACGCCUUGUAGGAUGCUGGCAGAACGGCCAAAUACCGCCCGUCUUGAACCACGGACCC
rnacentral:rRNA from 1 species